UACAGAGGGGGCAAGCGUUGUUCGGAAUUACUGGGCGUAAAGGGCGCGUAGGCGGCCUGUUAAGUCGAACGUGAAAUCCCCGGGCUCAACCCGGGAACUGCGUCCGAUACUGGCAGGCUUGAAUCCGGGAGAGGGAUGCGGAAUUCCAGGUGUAGCGGUGAAAUGCGUAGAUAUCUGGAGGAACACCCGUGGCGAAGGCGGCUCUCUGGUACGUGACUGACGCUGAGACGCGAAAGCGUGGGGAGCGAACAGG
rnacentral:rRNA from 1 species